rnacentral:rRNA from 1 species
UACGUAGGGUGCGGAGCGUUGUCCGGAAUUACUGGGCGUAAAGAGCUCGUAGGUGGUUUGUCGCGUUGUUCGUGAAAACUCACAACUCAAUUGUGGGCGUGCGGGCGAUACGGGCAGACUGGAGUACUGCAGGGGAGACUGGAAUUCCUGGUGUAGCGGUGAAAUGCGCAGAUAUCGGGAGGAACACCAAUGGCGAAGGCAGCUUGCUGGGACGGUACUGACGCUGAGGCGCGAAAGCGUGGGGAGCAAACAGGG